UUGAACAAAGAGAAAGUGUGUAAGUGUGUAUUCAAUACAAAGUUAAACGGAAAAAAGAUGAGUGAAACAAAUAUAAAUGAAAUAAUUGUUGCGGCGAUAGAUUUUGGAACGACAUUUUCUGGUUACGCCUACUCUUAUAGGGAGGAGUACUUACGAGAUCCUCUUCAGAUAUAUUCAAAUCGCUGGGAUGGCCAGAUUCUUCCGCAAGCCCCUACUGUGCUACUGUUCAACAGUGAAAAGACGGAAUCUUACUUCGGAUUCGAGGUUUGUUCGAAAAAAAUUGUAUUCCGGAUUACUAUUAUUAUCUUUACUUUUAAUUUUAUUCGCAAUCAAAGAGGAUAUUAACAAUGAUCGGGGAUUAACCCUAUAGCAACCGUUACAAGAAUAAUAGUUUGACAGUCCAGGUGUUGGAAUCUUUCACCAACGUAGGCAGAUAAGUAUAUUUGCUUUCGGACAGUGAUCUACAUCGAAAUAUGUCGUACAUUGCUGAUAUGUAUUCACUUAAAGGCGGAAGAGAAAUACGAUGGACUUAUAAAAAGAAAAGAACAUAAAGACUGGCGAUAUUUUCGAAGGUUCAAAAUGGAUCUUCACAGAGAGAAAAAACUCACACGGAAAAUGACUAUAAAAGAUGCACAAGGGAGAAAGAUGCCUGCGGUGGAAGUUUUUGCCGCUGCCAUUAAACAUUUGAAGAAUCAUUUUAUGGAGCAGGCUGGGCUGAGGGUAAAACUCCAGGAGCAUGAAGUUCGUUGGGUGAUCACCGUCCCUGCUAUCUGGAGUGAUGAUGCCAAAGAAUUCAUGGUUGAGGCGGCAGAAAUGGUUUGUCGUCAUACUUAGUUUAAAAUGCAUCCAUAUAAUUCGUCGAUACGAGGCUUUUUCAUGGCUGGAAUAAAAGAAGAUCAAUUAUCACUUGCAUACGAACCAGAAGCUGCGGCUAUCUACUGCAAACAUAUAAGACUUGCAAAGCUUAAAGAGCCAGGAAAAGAUGCAACAAUUCAACCGUUUCCUACGGGACUGAAGUUUCUUGUUCUUGAUUUUUGAGGUGGAACUGUCGACAUUUCCGCACAUGAAGUGCAAGAAGACGGCACCCUAAAGGCACUUAUAGAGCCUAUAGGUGGGAAAUGGGGAGGGACUCUUGUCGAUGACGGUUUUUUAGAAAUAUUUGAAGGUCUCUUUGGAGCGGAUAUCAUGAAUGGCCUAAAACACGACAUUGAACAAGCCGAAUCAAAACGCGAGCUUGAUGCCGAAAUUGAAAUGAAGAAGAGAACAAUUGUUGGUAAAAGUAAUGCCAAGGCUAAUAACACUAUUUCGAUUAAACUACCAUUCGCAUUGCGUGAAGGAACAAAGUCUGCUCAGUUUGAAAGUGCUUUAGAAAGCGGAACAUAUGAACUCAUACAAGGUAAACUCCAGAUUGACAAUUCAAUUUUGUUAUCGGCCUUCGAAAAUUCAGUUUCGAAAAUCGUACAACAUCUUAACAUUCUGCUGGGAAAGACCGAGUUGGACGAUUGGAUGCUGUUGUUAUGGCUGGCGGAUUUUCAGACUCGAAAGUAGUUCAGGAAGCAAUCAAAGACGUUCUAAAGAAUUACCCGAAAGUAGACUUGAUAAUACCAGAGAACAGCGCUUCAGCUAUUGUUCACGGAGCUGUCUUAUAUGGAUUCAACCCAUCAGUUAUAUCAACCCGGAAAUCAAAAUACUCGUAUGGAAUUAGUACAUCGGCUCCGUUUUUUGAAGAACAUCAUCCGUUGUCACAUAUUGUGCAAAGAGAUGGGUCCAACAAAUGUGAAGACAUAUUCAAGGUCUUUGUUAAGAAGGGUGAGGAAGUG